GACGAACGCUGGCGGCGUGCCUAAUACAUGCAAGUCGAACGCUAAGGACAUGCUUUUGCUGUUUGUUCGAGUGUCGAAAGGGUGAGUGUCACGUGUGUGAACCCCCCUUGACUGCGGGAGAACUUCAGGAAAAACGGGCUCUAAUAGGACAGGAGCUCCUACUGCAUGGGUCGGGUUGGAAAGUUUCGCCGGUUCGGGACGGACACGCGGCUCAUCAGCGUGUUGGUGAGGUGGUGGCUUACCAAGGCUCUGACGGGUAGCCGGCCUGAGAGGGUGACAGGCCACAGUGGGACGGAGAUACGGCCCAGACUCCUACGGGAGGCAGCAGUGCGGAAUAGUGCACAAUGGGCGGAAGCAUGAUGCAGCAACGCCGCGUGCGGGAUGACGGCCUUCGGUUUGUAAACCGCUUUCGCCUGUGACGAAGCGUGAGUGACGGUAGUGGGUAAAGAAGCACCGGCUAACUACGUG
rnacentral:rRNA from 1 species